UGGGGAAUUUUGGACAAUGGGCGAAAGCCUGAUCCAGCAAUGCCGCGUGUGUGAAGAAGGCCUUCGGGUUGUAAAGCACUUUUGUCCGGAAAGAAAUCCUUGGCUCUAAUACAGUCGGGGGAUGGCGGUACCGGAAGAAUAAGCACCGGCUAACUACGUGCCAGCAGCCGCGGUAAUACGUAGGGUGCAAGCGUUAAUCGGAAUUACUGGGCGUAAAGCGUGCGCAGGCGGUUUGCUAAGACCGAUGUGAAAUCCCCGGGCUCAACCUGGGAACUGCAUUGGUGACUGGCAGGCUAGAGUAUGGCAGAGGGGGGUAGAAUUCCACGUGUAGCAGUGAAAUGCGUAGAGAUGUGGAGGAAUACCGAUGGCGAAGGCAGCCCCCUGGGCCAAUACUGACGCUCAUGCACGAAAGCGUGGGGAGCAAACAGGAUUAGAUACCCUGGUAGUCCACGCCCUAAACGAUGUCAACUAGUUGUUGGGGAUUCAUUUCCUUAGUAACGUAGCUAACGCGUGAAGUUGACCGCCUGGGGAGUACGGUCGCAAGAUUAAAACUCAAAUGAAUUGACGGGGUCAUAGCUGUUUCCU
rnacentral:rRNA from 1 species